AUUGAACGCUGGCGGCAUGCUUUACACAUGCAAGUCGAACGGUAACAGGGUGCUUGCCCCGCUGACGAGUGGCGAACGGGUGAGUAAUGCGUCGGAACGUGCCGAAUAGUGGGGGAUAACGCAUCGAAAGGUGUGCUAAUACCGCAGACGGACUUAGGUAGAAAGUGGGGGACCUUCGGGCCUCACGCUAUUCGAGCGUCCGACGUCUGAUUAGCUAGUUGGUGAGGUAAAGGCUCACAAAGGCGACGAUAAGUAGAGGGGCUGAGAGGAGGAGCCGCCAAAAUGGGACUGAGACACGGCCCAGACUCCUAAGGGAGGCAGCAGUGGGGAAUUUUGGACAAUGGGCGCAAGCCUGAUCCAGCCAUGCCGCGUGUCUGAAGAAGGCCUUCGGGUUGUAAAGGACUUUUGUCCGGGAGCAAAUGCCUGGUGUUAAUAGCACUGGGAGCUGAGAGUACCGGAAGAAUAAGCACCGGCUAACUACGUGCCAGCCGCCGCAGUAAGAC
rnacentral:rRNA from 1 species